rnacentral:tRNA from 1 species
GGGCCUGUAGCUCAAUGGUAGAGUACCACCUUCGCACGGUGGGGGCUCCGGGUUCGACUCCCGGCAGGUCCA